rnacentral:lncRNA from 1 species
GUAGACUGUGAGCCGGGUUUGGUGGUCGCCAGGAAGAUCCUAUCUACUCUGUGGAGAAUGGAUUGGAACAAAAAAAGACCAUGCAGGAAUCAACUGUAGAAGGCCAGGUAAGAGGGCUGGUGGCAGGUAAAGGGCAGAGUCAGGAAAUGGUAGUAUGUAGGGCUGGUCCAGGGAGGGAGGAAUUGAGUGACCCAGGUUUGUGAUAUGAAUGAUGAGUAGGUUGUGUCCCCAUGGUCGAGUGGGAGUCCCAGAGAAGGGAUGCACUGGGGAAGGAGGGAGUCACCAAGGUCAGAAGUUGAGUCCACUGAGUGUUGGGAGAAAGAUUUGGGGAUUGUGAGCAGUUAGAGGGCUACCAGAGACACUGCAUGAGGUGAGAUUACCUUGGCCUGCAACAUCCGAGGAGGAAUAUUAUCAUCUGAUACCAGGUUUGGUCAGCUACAAUCCGCUGCCUGGUUUUUUUUUGUUUUGUUUUGUUUUUUUAAAUAGCCCUGAACUAAGCAAGUCCUUUACCAGUGAGCUGUAGAUGUCGGGUAAGAGAUAUUUUGUAAGAAAGCACACUUUUGUACUCUGUAGGGGUGGCUGUUCUCACAUACACUGGCAACAGAGUUGAGUGACAGAAACAGAGACGGUGCAUGGUGUCAUACCACUCUCUGCACCUCACAUCAGUGAUGAGAUUAUCACUUGAUUCUGACAUUGACCCCUAGGGGGGAAAAAAAGUUGCAAAAUCCUUUGAUCUAAGGUCUAAGUUGAGACACACCUCUGGAGAGAUGGCUCAGUGGGUAACGGUGCUUGUCACGAAAGCCUGUUGCAUCCCCAGAGCCCACUUAAAGAGAGAAGAAUCAACUCCACAUGCACACUGUAACACGUGCUCGCCAACACCCACACAUGGUACACACAACAAUAAUUACAAAGGUUUGGGGUUUUUUGUUGUUGUUGUUUUGUUUUUUUUUCCAAGACAGGGUUUCUCUGUAGCUUUGGAGCCUAUCCUGGCACUCACUCUGGAGACCAGGCUGGCCUCAAACUCACAGAGAUCCGCCUGCCUCUGCCUCCCUGCAUGCUGGGAUUAAAGGCAUGCACCACCAACGCCUGGCUUAACAAAGGUUUUUUUGUUUUUUUGUUUUUUUGAUUUUUUUUAUUAGUUCAAAUUAGGAACAAGCUUGUUUCACAUAUCAAUCCCUUCUCCCCUUCUCCUUCUCCCUCCCUUCACUCCCUCCCUCCUCCCCCCCCCAUCCACCCUCCACUCCCCAGGCACAGUAGGGCCCUCAACUGAGGCUCCUCAAAG